UGUCAGAUUGAACGCUGGCGGCAGGCCUAACACAUGCAAGUCGAACGGCAGCACAGAAGAGCUUGCUCUUUGGGUGGCGAGUGGCGGACGGGUGAGUAAUGUCUGGGAAACUGCCCGAUGGAGGGGGAUAACUACUGGAAACGGUAGCUAAUACCGCAUAACGUCGCAAGACCAAAGUGGGGGACCUUCGGGCCUCACACCAUCGGAUGUGCCCAGAUGGGAUUAGCUAGUAGGUGGGGUAACGGCUCACCUAGGCGACGAUCCCUAGCUGGUCUGAGAGGAUGACCAGCCACACUGGAACUGAGACACGGUCCAGACUCCUACGGGAGGCAGCAGUGGGGAAUAUUGCACAAUGGGCGCAAGCCUGAUGCAGCCAUGCCGCGUGUAUGAAGAAGGCCUUCGGGUUGUAAAGUACUUUCAGCGGGGAGGAAGGCGACGCGGUUAAUAGCCGCGUCGAUGACGUA
rnacentral:rRNA from 1 species